rnacentral:tRNA from 1 species
GGCUCAGUGGUCUAGGGGUAUGAUUCGCGCUUCGGGUGCGCGAGGUCCCGGGUUCGAAUCCC